UUCGCAAUGCCCGAAAGGGUGACGAAGCGGCGCCGCGUGAGCGAAGAAGGCCCUAGGGUUGUAGAGCUCUGUCGGGGGUUAUGAAAUGUAGAUCGGUUAAUACCCGGUUUAUUUGACAAAGGCCCCAAAGGAAGCCACGGCUAACUCUGUGCCAGCAGCCGCGGUAAUACAGAGGUGGCAAGCGUUGUUCGGUAUUAUUGGGCGUAAAGAGCACGUAGGUGGUUUUGUAAGUCAGAUGUGAAAGCCUUCUGUUCAAAGGAAGAACGGCAUCUGAAACUGCGAAUCUUGAGUGUAGGAGGGGAGAGUGGAACUUCUGGUGGAGCGGUGAAAUGCGUAGAUAUCAGAAGGAACGUCGGCGGCGAAGGCGACUCUCUGGCCUAUUACUGACACUGAGUGUGCGAAAGUUAGGGGAGCAAACGGGAUUAGAUACCCCGGUAGUCCUAACUGUAAACGAUGGGCACUAAGUAGAGGGGUUUU
rnacentral:rRNA from 1 species